rnacentral:piRNA from 1 species
UAGGCAUGGUAUAAGCAUCUGGUGUGAGGU